rnacentral:rRNA from 1 species
AGUGAACGCUGGCGGCAGGCCUAAUACAUGCAAGUCGAACGGCAGCACGGCAGAGCUUGCUCUGUGGGUGGCGAGUGGCGGACGGGUGAGGAAUACAUGGGAAUCUGCCCAGUCGUGGGGGAUAACGUAGGGAAACUUACGCUAAUACCGCAUGCGCCCUUCGGGGGAAAGCCGGGGACCUUCGGGCCUGGCGCGAUUGGAUGAGCCCAUGUCGGAUUAGCUAGUUGGCGGGGUAAUGGCCCACCAAGGCGACGAUCCGUAGCUGGUCUGAGAGGAUGAUCAGCCACACUGGAACUGAGACACGGUCCAGACUCCUACGGGAGGCAGCAGUGGGGAAUUUUGGACAAUGGGCGCAAGCCUGAUCCAGCAAUGCCGCGUGCAGGAUGAAGGGCCUUCGGGUUGUAAACGUAGCUUUUGUUACGGUAACGAAACGGUAGAGCUCUAAUAAAGCUUAGCUAAUGACGGUACCGUAACGAAUAAGCACCGGCUAACUACGUAGCC